rnacentral:rRNA from 1 species
AUUAAACUGAAGAGUUUGAUCCUGGCUCAGAUUGAACGCUGGCGGUAUGCUUAACACAUGCAAGUCGAACGGAAACGAUACUAGCUUGCUAGUAGGCGUCGAGUGGCGGACGGGUGAGUAACGCGUAGGAAUCUG